GUAAUCUGGAUAUAAAAUAAUUUUUAUUUCAAGGCUGCUUCAUAAUAUUAAUUUUAGGAAAAAUUUAAGUGACAAAGAUAUGAUUUUAAUUAAAAAUUCACCACAGUGUGUUGCUAAUGCUGAGUUCUUAAUUGGUGACAAUUGGAUGACCAUGAGCUAAAUUCGCAAAAGCUGAGUUAUUAGCAACUUGUUAUGAACUUAUCGUCUCCCUGGUGGCUGCCAGAUUUCAUCUGAUACUGAUUGUAAGAUACAUCCAGAUUUGCAAACACCCAAAUAUAAAAAAGGAUAUUUUAAAAUAGACAACAUAAUUUUUAAAAAUAACACUUUAAGUUUUACAUUUCUAAUCAGUAUACUUUUCAAGAAUAUUAAAAUAAUUAGUUGGAUUCAUCUGAACAGAAUUGUCUGCAUGUAAGGAAAAGUAAAGUUUCUGAAUUAAUGGAGCUCCUAUUAACAUCACACAUAUAAGUGUACGUAAACAAUUAGUAUAUUCUUAAUAACCAUUCUCUUCCCUAAUUAAAAGUAUAAGCUAAUAACUAGGCUUAAUCUCUUUUUCCCAAAUCACAGUAUGAAUCAGAAGAAACAGAAGCAGGUUUAUCAGACAGAAAGCUACAGGAUUAAGUCUGUAAACAAAGAGGCCAGAAAGUGCAAAGUGUCUGCUUUGCCUCCCUGGGAGCCACACAUGGCCCUUUCUCAUCCUGGUGAACAGGAUGUACACAAAUUCAAAGAAUGCUGCUCCUUCUAUCUUCCUUGCUCCUGCCUGGAAACCAGAGGAUACCUGAUGUGCAUCAGCUACCCCUAGGAUGGCAGAACAGGAAAAGAGGAGAAAAUGAGAAGUCACUGGCUACCUGUGCUGCAAGUCUCUCUUGAAUGAGACACAAACAUUCUGAAUUCAUAGAAGCCAUUCGGUAAGCUUUCCUAGAACUCAUAGCUGAACACAGGCCACUGGAGAUAGCUAUUUUAACAUCACAGGAGUGGCAAGUAUCAUACUUUGAACCUUGUUGCCUAAAAAUAGCCGAUUAAAAUGCAAAUCUUUUUGCAUUUGUGCUAGUUGAUUUUAUGUGUCAACUUAGCUGGGAUCCCAGAUAUUUGGUGAAACAUUAUUCUGGGUAUCUUUGAGGGUUUUUAGAAGAACAUAACAUUUGAAUCCAUAGACUGAUUGAAGCAGAUUACUUUCCUUCUUGUGGGUAGGCUUCCUCCAAUCAAUGGGAGACUUGAAUAGAAAAAGGAAUUCCUUCCGCCUGAAUGCACUAGCUAAGGCAUGGGUCUUUCCUGCCUUGGGGCUUGAAGUGAAAAAUCAGCUCUCGCGUCUCAAUCCUGCCAGCUCUCAGACUGAAACUUAUACUCUUGACUCUCCUGGUCCUCAGACUUUUGGACUCAGAUUGGAACUAUAUCUCCAGUGUUCAUGGCUUACUAACUAUAGAUCUUAGGACUUCUCAGCUUCCAUAACCACAUAGACAAAUCCUAUAAUACAUCUCACUCAAUUUCUCUCUUUAUCCUCUUUCUCUUCUUUACUUUCUCUCUCUCUCUCUCUCUUUCUCUCUCUCUCUCCAAAGACACACACACACACACACACACACACACACA